rnacentral:lncRNA from 1 species
CAUUAUUCUUUGAAAAAGACAAAAUUUGAUGGGUAAUUGGUGAAAUACCUGUAAUCUUUAGUGAUUUUGCACAAUACUUUCUAAUCUUUCAGUUUGCAUCGAAACCUCCUAGAUCAACCAAACAUUGCGUAAUAUUAAACUGCCGUCAAUUUCUGUUAGGUUUUUAGUUGAACUUGUGGAGGACAAGAGCAACUCCCAAUUUUCACUUUAGGUCAUGUUUGCUCAAAGAGGACGUGGGAGAGGCACCAAUGACAUCGACAAAGAAAUCCCAAAACUCAAGUGAUAUUGUGGGUUUUUAUUCAUCGCAAUAUAUUGCAAUUCUGCCUCACAGGAAGUUGAUCCUAAUAUGGAGAAUGAGGGCACAUUAGGUUUAGAUAAUAUAGAUCAGUUUCUAUCCGACCUAGCAAAUGCUAUUCUUGGAAUUGAUGAAGCUGAGUUUUGUGUAAAUGUUGAAGCAACGUUAAGUUGUACUUAAUGUUUUCCUCAUUUACUAACACUUGCCUAUAGAUAUGGGCAGCCGUGAUAUUGACCCGAUGCAUAUCAAAACUUUUGGUCUGUUAUUGCAAGAAAGGCGGUGCUACUGAAACAGGGCCUAUGUGACAAGAAUUAUUCUUGCAAGAAAAUUUAAUGCCU